GAUGAACGCUGGCGGCGUGCAUAAUACAUGCAAGUCGAGCGAACAGACGAGGAGCUUGCUCCUCUGACGUUAGCGGCGGACGGGUGAGUAACACGUGGAUACCUACCUAUAAGACUGGGAUAACUUCGGGAAACCGGAGCUAAUACCGGAUAAUAUAUUGAACCGCAUGGUUCAAUAGUGAAAGACGGUUUUGCUGUCACUUAUAGAUGGAUCCGCGCCGCAUUAGCUAGUUGGUAAGGUAACGGCUUACCAAGGCAACGAUGCGUAGCCGACCUGAGAGGGUGAUCGGCCACACUGGAACUGAGACACGGUCCAGACUCCUACGGGAGGCAGCAGUAGGGAAUCUUCCGCAAUGGGCGAAAGCCUGACGGAGCAACGCCGCGUGAGUGAUGAAGGUCUUCGGAUCGUAAAACUCUGUUAUUAGGGAAGAACAAAUGUGUAAGUAACUAUGCACGUCUUGACGGUACCUAAUCAGAAAGCCACGGCUAACUACGUG
rnacentral:rRNA from 1 species